rnacentral:rRNA from 1 species
UGGUGGGGUGACUUGUCUGCUUAAAUGCGAUAACGAACGAGACCUUAACCUGCUAAAUAGCCCGCAUUGCUCCGGCAGUGCGCUGGCUUCUUAGAGGGACUUUCGGCUCAAGCCGAAGGAAGUUUGAGGCAAUAACA